rnacentral:rRNA from 1 species
GGGUUGUGAGGUUAAGCGACUAAGCGUACACGGUGGAUGCCCUGGCAGUCAGAGGCGAUGAAGGACGUGCUAAUCUGCGAUAAGCGCCGGUAAGGUGAUAUGAACCGUUAUAACCGGCGAUUUCCGAAUGGGGAAACCCAGUGUGAUUCGUCACACUAUCAUUAACUGAAUCCAUAGGUUAAUGAGGCGAACCGGGGGAACUGAAACAUCUAAGUACCCCGAGGAAAAGAAAUCAACCGAGAUUCCCCCAGUAGCGGCGAGCGAACGGGGAGGAGCCCAGAGCCUGAAUCAGCAUAUGUGUUAGUGGAAGCGUCUGGAAAGGCGCGCGAUACAGGGUGACAGCCCCGUACACAAAAGCGCAUGUGCUGUGAGCUCGAUGAGUAGGGCGGGACACGUGGUAUCCUGUCUGAAUAUGGGGGGACCAUCCUCCAAGGCUAAAUACUCCUGACUGACCGAUAGUGAACCAGUACCGUGAGGGAAAGGCGAAAAGAACCCCGGCGAGGGGAGUGAAAAAGAACCUGAAACCGUGUACGUACAAGCAGUGGGAGCCCCACCACUAAGCCAGUGGUGAACUCCACAUACGCAUCCUUUGCUGAGGAUACGGUUAACGGAGCGAAAGCGACGUUCAACCUCAAAAGAAGCAGAGGGGGC